rnacentral:rRNA from 1 species
AUUGAACGCUGGCGGCAGGCCUAACACAUGCAAGUCGAACGGUAGCACAGAGAGCUUGCUCUCGGGUGACGAGUGGCGGACGGGUGAGUAACGUCUGGGAAACUGCCCGAUGGAGGGGGAUAACUACUGGAAACGGUAGCUAAUACCGCAUAACGUCGCAAGACCAAAGUGGGGGACCUUCGGGCCUCACCCCAUCGGCUGUGCCCAGAUGGGAUUAGCUAGUAGGUGGGGUAAUGGCUCACCUAGGCGACGAUCCCUAGCUGGUCUGAGAGGAUGACCAGCCACACUGGAACUGAGACACGGUCCAGACUCCUACGGGAGGCAGCAGUGGGGAAUAUUGCACAAUGGGCGCAAGCCUGAUGCAGCCAUGCCGCGUGUAUGAAGAAGGCCUUCGGGUUGUAAAGUACUUUCAGCGGGGAGGAAGGCGGUGAAGUUAAUAACUUCACCGAUUGACGUUACCCGCAGAAGAAGCACCGGCUAACUCCGUGCCAGCCGCCGCCGUAA